rnacentral:rRNA from 1 species
UAAAUUGAGAGUUUGAUCCUGGCUCAGGAUGAACGCUGGCGGCGUGCUUAACACAUGCAAGUCGAGCGAUGAAGUUUCCUUCAGGAAACGGAUUAGCGGCGGACGGGUGAGUAACACGUGGGUAACCUGCCUCAUAGAGUGGAAUAGCCUUCCGAAAGG